rnacentral:rRNA from 1 species
GAUUUAACGGCCGCGGUACUCUGACCGUGCGAAGGUAGCACAAUCACUUGUUCUUUAAAUGAGGACUAGAAUCAAUGGCAUCACGAGGGUCCCACUGUCUCCUUUUUCUAAUCAGUGAAAUUGAUCUCCCCGUGAAGAAGCGGGGAUAACUUUAUAAGACGAGAAGACCCCAUGGAGCUUCAAACUCAACGGAUAACUCUACAACCUAUGAGAUAUUUUAAGAGGUCUAUCUAUUAGUUUUGGGUUGGGGUGACCACGGAGAACAACCUAACCUCCGUAAUGAAAAGAAUAAAAUCAUAAUCUAAGAGCCACACCUCUAAGAAUUAACAAAUUAACAUACAAUGAUCCAAUUUUUAUUGAUCAAUGAACCAAGUUACCCUGGGGAUAACAGCGCUAUCCACUCCUAGAGUCCCUAUCGCCGAGUGGGUUUACGACCUCGAUGUUGGAUCAGGGUGUCCGAGUGGUGCAGCC